CUGGUUGAUCCUGCCAGUAGUGAUAUGCUUGUCUCAAAGAUUAAGCCAUGCAGGUCUAAGUACAAAUGGUAUAAAGUGAAACUGCAAACGGCUCAUUAAAUCAGUCUUGGUUUACUUGAUCGUACGUGUUGGUGGAUAACUGUGGUAAUUCUAGAGCUAAUACAUGCAUUUAAGCGUCGACUUCGGUAGGCGCGCACUUAUCAGACCAAAACCGGCCGGGCGUUCACGCGUCCGAAACGUUUGGUGACUCUGGAUAAUUCCGCUGAUCGUAUGGUCUUGUACCGACGACGGAUCAUUCAAGUGUCUGCCCUAUCAACUUUCGAAUGUAUGGUAUCUGCCUACGUUUGUGAUAACGGGUGACGGGGAAUCAGGGUUCGGUUCCGGAGAGGGAGCCUGAGAAACGGCUACCACAUCCAAGGAAGGCAGCAGGCGCGCAAAUUACCCACUUUUAACGCGAAGAGGUAGUGACAAAAAAUAACAAUAUAGGACUCUAACGAGGCCCUGUAAUUGGAAUGAGUACAAUCUAAACUCUUUAACGAGUAUCCAUUGGAGGGCAAGUCUGGUGCCAGCAGCCGCGGUAAUUCCAGCUCCAAUAGUGUAUGCUAAAGUUGUUGCGGUUGAAAAGCUCGUAGUUGGAUCUAGUGUGCCGGGCGCCGGUCCGCCGCAAGGCGUGCACUGGCGUUCGACCUCUCUUUGUCGGUUCUCGGUCGGUGCUCUUGACUGAGUGUCUGCCGUGGCCGGCGGUUUUACUUUGAAAAAAUUAGAGUGUUUAAAGCAGGCUAGUCGCCUGUAUAUUCGUGCAUGGAAUAAUGGAAUAGGACCUCGAGUCUGUUUUUGUUGGGUUUAUGACUCGAGGUAAUGAUUAAGAGGGACAGACGGGGGCAUCCGUACUCUGCCGUUAGAGGUGAAAUUCUUGGAUCGGCGGAAGACGAACUAUUGCGAAAGCAUUUGCCAAGAAUGUUUUCUUUAAUCAAGAGCGAAAGUCAGAGGUUCGAAGACGAUCAGAUACCGUCCUAGUUCUGACCAUAAACGAUGCCAACUAGCGAUCCGCCGACGUUACCAUGACGACUCGGCGGGGAGCUCCCGGGAAACCAAAGUCUUUGGGUUCCGGGGGAAGUAUGGUUGCAAAGCUGAAACUUAAAGGAAUUGACGGAAGGGCACCACCAGGAGUGGAGCCUGCGGCUUAAUUUGACUCAACACGGGGAAACUCACCCGGCCCGGACACAGGUAGGAUUGACAGAUUGAGGGCUCUUUCUUGAUUCUGUGGGUGGUGGUGCAUGGCCGUUCUUAGUUGGUGGAGCGAUUUGUCUGGUUAAUUCCGAUAACGAACGAGACUCUAUUCUGCUAAAUAGUUACGCGACCCUGUCGGUCGGCGUUGUUAAACUUCUUAGAGAGACUAGUGGCGUUUAGCCACACGAGAUUGAGCAAUAACAGGUCUGUGAUGCCCUUAGAUGUCCGGGGCUGCACGCGCGCUACAAUGAAUAAAGCAGCGUGUCUGUUACCUUGGCCGAAAGGUCUGGGAAACCCCGAAAAUUUAUUCGUGCUAGGGAUAGAGAUCUGGAAUCCUCUCUUGAACGAGGAAUUCCCAGUAAAUGCGAAUCAUCAGUUCGCGUUGAUUACGUCCCUGCCCUUUGUACACACCGCCCGUCGCUACUACCGAUUGAAUGGUUUAGUGAGGUCCUCGGAUUGACCCCUCUGUGGUCGGCAACGGUCGCGGAGGCGCGUCGAAAAGAUAAUCGAACUUGAUCAUUUAGAGGAAGUAAAAGUCGUAACAAGGUUUCCGUAGGUGAACCUGCAGAUGGAUCAUUA
rnacentral:rRNA from 1 species